rnacentral:rRNA from 1 species
CCUACGGGAGGCAUCAGUGAGGAAUAUUGGUCAAUGGACGAGAGUCUGAACCAGCCAAGUAGCGUGAAGGAUGACUGCCCUAUGGGUUGUAAACUUCUUUUAUAAAGGAAUAAAACGAGGCACGUGUGCCUUUUUGCAUGUACUUUAUGAAUAAGGAUCGGCUAACUCCGUGCCAGCAGCCGCGGUAAUACGGAGGAUCCGAGCGUUCUCCGGAUUUAUUGGGUUUAAAGGGAGCGUAGAUGGGUUGUUAAGUCAGUUGUGAAAGUUUGCGGCUCAACCGUAAAAUUGCAAUUGAUACUGGCAGUCGUGAGUACAGUUGAGGUAGGCGGAAUUCGUGGUGUAGCGGUGAAAUGCUUAGAUAUCACGCAGAACCCCGAUUGCGAAGGCAGCUUACUAAACUGUGACUGACAUUGAUGCUCGAAAGUGUGGGUAUCAAACAGGAUUAGAUACCCUUGUAGUC